rnacentral:rRNA from 1 species
GACGAACGCUGGCGGCGUGCUUAACACAUGCAAGUCGAGCGAGGUCCACCUUUCGGGGUGGUGUCCUAGCGGCGAACGGGUGAGUAACACGUGGGCAACCUGCCCUCAGCUCUGGGAUAACUCCAAGAAAUUGGGGCUAAUACCGGAUAUGACCGCUGACCGCAUGGUCUGGUGGUGGAAAGAUUUAUCGGCUGGGGAUGGGCCCGCGGCCUAUCAGCUUGUUGGUGGGGUAGUGGCCACCAAGGCGACGACGGGUAGCCGGCCUGAGAGGGCGACCGGCCACACUGGGACUGAGACACGGCCCAGACUCCUACGGGAGGCAGCAGUGGGGAAUAUUGCACAAUGGGCGGAAGCCUGAUGCAGCGACGCCGCGUGA